CCCCACUGCUAUCGAGGUGGGACUAAGCCAUGCCAGUCGAACGACCCGGACUAUGGCGGGGAGUGGCAGACUGCUCAGUAACACGUAGCUAACCUACCCUCGGGACGGGGAUAACCCCGGGAAACUGGGGCUAAUACCCGAUAGGUGUGGAUUCCUGGAAUGGUGCCAUGCCUAAACGUAAGCACAUCCAUGUUUGUGUGCACGCCCGAGGAUGGGGCUGCGGCCGAUCAGGCAGUUGGUGAGGUAACGGCUCACCAAACCUUUGACCGGUACGGGCCAUGAGAGUGGUAGCCCGGAGAUGGGCACUGAGACAAGGGCCCAGGCCCUACGGGGCGCAGCAGGCGCGAAACCUCCACAAUUCACGCAAGUGAGAUGGGGUUACCUCGAGUGCCAUCUGAAGAAGGUGGCUUUUCCAUGGUGUAAUGAGCCGUGGGAAUAAGGGGGGGGCAAGACUGGUGUCAGCCGCCGCGGUAACACCAGCCCCCCGAGUGGUGGGGAUGAUUAUUUGGCCUAAAGCGUCCGUAGCCAGCUCGGUAAAUCUCUCGUUAAAUCCAGCGUCCUAAGCGUUGGGCUGCGAGGGAAACUGCCGAACUAGAGGGUGGGAGAGGUCAGCGGUAUUCCUGGGGUAGGGGCGAAAUCCAUUGAUCCCAGGAGGACCACCAGUGGCGAAGGCUGCUGACUAGAACACGCCUGACGGUGAGGGACGAAAGCUGGGGUAGCGAAUCGGAUUAGAUACCCGAGUAGUCCCAGCCGUAAACGAUGCGGGCUAGGUGUUGGGUCGGCCAUGCGCCGCCUCAGUGCCACAGGGAAGCCAUUAAGCCUGCCGCCUGGGGAGUACGGCCGCAAGGCUGAAACUUAAAGGAAUUGGCGGGGGAGCACCACCAGGCGUGAAGCCUGCGGUUU
rnacentral:rRNA from 1 species